UGUGGCACAGUGAAACUCUCCUGUGGUUCAGCCUAGUCUCUCUCUGCAGUGGGACAAAGGAACAGACUGAUCUUUGGUGCAUAGCUGUCUCAUCUGCAGAAGAUGUAAGGACAACUCAGUGCCUCCCACGAUUCAGCCAGAUCAAGGGCUGGAGUUAAGUGUGUGUGCUGAGCCCAUCUCAAGGCUUGACCUGCAAGAGGGCAGCCAGUUAGGACUCAGGCAACAUCUGUUACUGCAGCCUGCUCAACUCUCAUUCCUGGAAAAUGUUGCCUGAGCACAAGCAUUCCACAGCACACAUGCAAUCAAGCUGGUGUCCCGUGUUCUUCCUCAGUGUCUUUGAGAUGUAAGGGAAAUUGGAUUUGGCUCCUGCUAAUCUGAAACCUGCCCAGUACUGGAAAUUCUCUGGCCUGGUUUGGCCUGUUACUACUGUUUUGGGAAAGCUGGAAGAGCCGGGAGCCAGCUGUGGU
rnacentral:lncRNA from 1 species